rnacentral:lncRNA from 1 species
AUGAAAAACGGCACUGGAAAUUCUAAAAUCAAGCGAAAGAGACCAGAGAGUCUGAGCGAUGUUUGUAGCAGACAGUCUGUGCAGCAGGAUAAGCUCUCAAUUCAAUGUGUGGACGACCCUGAGGGAGUUGGUUCUGUGAUGGCUUAUGAUAAUGAGACCUUCCCUAUGGCCAAACAGCUUCCGACUGAAGAGGACAAAGUUCAAGUUAUCAAGGAGCACUGAUAUGAGCUUGCUGAUGGCUCUCUUGAUUGGCUGUGGGGAACACGGGGAAAAAGUGAAGAAACAAAUCUGAAGGAUGUUCAAGCAAUUGAGGCAGAAGAUUAAUGCAUCAAUUAAUUUUAGAAAAAUGUACAAAUUCCAGGAUCAUUUGCUGUCAAUAAAAGGU